rnacentral:rRNA from 1 species
AGAGUUUGAUCCUGGCUCAGGAUGAACGCUAGCGACAGGCCUAACACAUGCAAGUCGAGGGGCAGCGAGAGGAAAGCUUGCUUUUCUUGUCGGCGACCGGCGCACGGGUGAGUAACGCGUAUGCAACCUGGCUACUGCUACGGGAUAGCCUUGCGAAAGUAAGAUUAAUACCGUAUGUGCUGAGUUUAGACAUCUUUAUUCAGUGAAAGAUUUAUCGGCAGUAGAUGGGCAUGCGUCUGAUUAGUUAGUUGGCGGGGUAACGGCCCACCAAGGCGACGAUCAGUAGGGGUUCUGAGAGGAAGGUCCCCCACAUUGGAACUGAGACACGGUCCAAACUCCUACGGGAGGCAGCAGUGAGGAAUAUUGGUCAAUGGACGGAAGUCUGAACCAGCCAAGUCGCGUGAAGGAAGACGGUUCUAUGGAUUGUAAACUUCUUUUGCUCGAGGGUAAAGUGUGGUACGUGUACCAUAUUGCAAGUAUCGAGUGAAUAAGCAUCGGCUAACUCCGUGCCAGCAGCCGCGGUAAUACGGAGGAUGCGAGCGUUAUCCGGAUUUAUUGGGUUUAAAGGGUGCGUAGGCGGGCUUUUAAGUCAGCGGUGAAAGUUUGCGGCUCAACCGUAAAAUUGCCGUUGAUACUGGAGGUCUUGAGUAUAGACGAGGUAGGCGGAAUGUAACGUGUAGCGGUGAAAUGCUUAGAUAUGUUACAGAACUCCGAUUGCGAAGGCAGCUUACCAGACUAUGACUGACGCUGAGGCACGAAAGCGUGGGUAUCAAACAGGAUUAGAUACCCUGGUAGUCCACGCAGUAAACGAUGAAUACUGUCUGUUAACGAUAUAGUGUUAGUGGAUAAGCGAAAGUGCUAAGUAUUCCACCUGGGGAGUACGCCGGCAACGGUGAAACUCAAAGGAAUUGACGGGGGCCCGCACAAGCGGAGGAACAUGUGGUUUAAUUCGAUGAUACGCGAGGAACCUUACCCGGGCUUGAAAGUUAGUGAAGGAUGAUGAAAGUUGUCCGGCUCGCAAGAGACACGAAACUAGGUGCUGCAUGGUUGUCGUCAGCUCGUGCCGUGAGGUGUCGGCUUAAGUGCCAUAACGAGCGCAACCCCUGCUGUCAGUUGCCAUCAGGUAAUGCUGGGUACUCUGUCGGGACUGCUACUGUAAGGUAGAGGAGGGUGGGGAUGACGUCAAAUCAGCACGGCCCUUACGUCCGGGGCGACACACGUGUUACAAUGGGUGGUACAGAGGGUAGCUACUGGGCGACCAGAUGCCAAUCUCCUAAAACCAUCCUCAGUUCGGAUCGGAGUCUGCAACUCGACUCCGUGAAGCUGGAUUCGCUAGUAAUCGCGCAUCAGCCAUGGCGCGGUGAAUACGUUCCCGGGCCUUGCACACACCGCCCGUCA